rnacentral:rRNA from 1 species
UCAAGAAACUUCCACAAUGGGCGAAAGCCUGAUGGAGCGACGUCGCGUGAUGGACGAAGUGCUUCGGCACGUAAACAUCUUUUAUGUGGGAUGAAAUUAUUGACAGUACCACAUGAAUAAGGGGCUCCUAACUCUGUGCCAGCAGGAGCGGUAAUACAGAGGCCCCAAGCGUUAUCCGGAAUCACUGGGCGUAAAGGGUGUCGAGGCGGUUGUAUUAGUCGUUCGUAAAAUCUACGAGCUUAACUUGUAGGCGGCGAACGAAACGGUACGACUUGAGGUUUGGAGAGGUGCGUGGAACUCACGGUGUAGGGGUGAAAUCCGCUGAUAUCGUGGGGAACACCAAAGGCGAAGGCAGCGCACUGGCCAAAAUCUGACGCUCACACACGAAAGCUAGGGUAGCGAAGAGGAUUAGAUACCCAAGUAGUCCCUGAGCGGGCUGGCAAGGCGCAU